rnacentral:rRNA from 1 species
GAUGAACGCUGGCGGCGUGCCUAAUACAUGCAAGUCGAGCGAACGGGCGAUAAGCUUGCGUCGCGCAUGUGAGCGGCGGACGUGUGUGUAACACGUGUAUAACCUACCUAUAAUACGGGGAUAACUUCGGGAAAGCGGAGCUAAUAGCGGAGAAUAUUCUGAACCGCAUGGGGCAAAAGUGAAAGACGGUGUUUCUGUCUCGUAUAGAUGGAUCCGCGCUGCAUUAGAUAGUUGGUAAGGUAACGGCUUACCAAGGCAACGAUGCAUAGCCGACCGGAGAGGGUGAUAGGCCGCCCUGGAAGUGAGACACGGUCAAGACUCCUACGGGACGGCGCAGAAGGCUAUGUGACGCAACGGGCGAGAGCAUGGCGGAGUAGCGCCGAGCGAGUGGUGGAGAUCUUCGGAUCGUAAAACUCUGUUAUGAGGGAAGAACAUAUGUGUAAGUAAAUGUGCACAGCUUGACGGUAACUAAUAAGAAAGCCACGGCUAACUACGUG